rnacentral:rRNA from 1 species
GCCGCGGUAAUUCCAGCUCCAAUAGCGUAUAUUAACGUUGUUGCAGUUAAAAAGCUCGUAGUUGAAGUGAGGGAGUGUGUAGUAGGGCCGACUUGAUCGGAACUGCUGCAACCUCCCCCCUCCAAUCGGUGUAGUGGGGUAUUCAGUUAUUCUACUACUCCUUUGGUCGUUUACUGUGAGAAAAUUAGAGUGUUCAAAGCGGGCGUUUGUUUGAAUAGAUUAGCAUGGAAUAAUGAUUGAAGGCUUUCGUGUUCGAUUUGAUUGGUUUGUUCAUGGAAGCAAGGUUAAAAGGAACAGUUGGGGGUAUUCAUAUUCACUAGUUAGAGGUGAAAUUCUCGGAUUUAUGGAAGAUGAACAGGUGCGAAAGCAUUUACCAAGGAUGUUUUCAUUAAUCAAGAACGAAAG